ACUCUGGACUCCUACGGACCAAGAUGAUCAACUCUGAGGAAGAAAGGCAAUGAGGACGUUGCACAAGACAGUCCCUGAUACCCAGAGUUUACUGCCUAAGAGAGGAUACAUCCUUCAAACCAAUAAUCUGCUAAUAGCAAGAUCCAAUAGCUUCAUGGAUAUUGAAAGAAACUGAGAAUCAAAUUUGCAUACUUCUGAGUCACUUGGAAACAAAAAACAAGUACAGUCUUAGAUUCUGAGGGAACAAAAAUUAAAAAUCACAUUAGGAAGAGAAUUCCUAAUGUAGGAACUCAUCCUGGAAGAUUCUUCAGCAAAAGUACAGACAAUAAUAAUAAUACUCCAUGAAGUUACCAUCGAUAUUGAAUGAAUUAAUGAAUGUAAAAACCUCAAAACCCUGCCUGGCCCAGAGCUUUGGAAUGGGUUUGGAUCUACCACUCAACUGCUUUAUGACUUCAGACCAGUUAUUUAAAUUCCCUGAAGCUCAGUUUCCACAUCUUUGAGUGCAGCCCGGAGAGCUGUGAGCAGUGCCACAGGAGGAGAUGACUGGUGAGUGAAAUAAGCAAGAUAGGAGUUGAAGUGUACAUGAAGCAGAGUCCAAGCCUUCUCCUUCUGGAUGUUCAGCUGGAUCAUCCUGACUGCUCCCACUUUCAUCUUGGCUUUCAAAGGCAAGAGGAAAUUAUAAGGAAUAUUCUGAGUGGCUUUCAUCCAGGAGUUCUGUGGGACCCGCAACACCUGGAUGGUAGAUGCAAACAGAUAAAGAAUAUUGGUCACCAAAAGGAGUUCUUUUCAUCAUAGAUCUCUGAAGGUAGACACCUAUUUGCAGACUUCUCAAAGGGCUAUAUGGAUGUGCUCUACUUGUUGGAGGAUUGUCCAUCCACUCUUCUUCCUGUACUUACCAGGACAGAACAGCCGCAACUUCUCAGACAGUUCAUUCUUCUUUUCCUCACCUACUACCAUCUAAGAAAGGUACUUGAUGACUGUGGCUUUAGACAAGAGUCCUUUUCUUACCACAGGGUGGGCAGCACCAGCUCAUUAGAACCAUUUGUGUGACUGACUGAAGACAGCUCACCUUGGAACACUGCAGGUUGAAGAUCAUCUCUUCUUUUUUUCAUGGUGUUAAGCAUAAUAUGGCGUAAGUGACAUUUUACAAGUUCCAGAGCCUGGGACUCAAGAUGUCUUGGAGAUUCUGUCUUUGCAGUCUUAUAAUGAUGCCCUGAGAUCAUCAUUAAAGAAAGCCAGUCUGGCCUACUGAGGAUGAGAAGCUACAUAAAGGAGAAUGAAGAUUCCCCAGCCAACAGGCAAUAUCAGUGGUCAGAUAUGUGAAUAAAGCCAUGUUGAACCUCUCGGCUAGACGACCCUCCAGCAUAUGAAACCAGCAGAUGAAUAUCCCAGCCUGCCUGAAGAACUGUACAGGAAAUAAGAAAUCAUUGUUUUUUAAGCCACUGGGUUGGUGGGUGGUUUGUUACAUUGAAAUUGUUAACUAAAACAGAAAUUGGUGCAUAGAGGUCAGGUGCUGUCAUAAUAAAAAUCUAAAACAUAUACUGUUGGCUUUGGUGAUGGGAGUGAUUGGUAGCUAAAGAGGCAGUGAAACAAUGAUUAGUAGAUACUGGGAAGUUAAUAAGGAAAUUUCUAUUGGAGGGUGGAGAAAGGGCCACCCUUGUUAUAUAGUGGCCAAAGAAUCAGCAAAAUGUUGCCUGCUGCAACCUGGAAAGUAGAAACUUUUCUUAAACUCACGGAUCUGGCUGGGAGAUUUCCAGGAUGCAUGCAACAAAUGUGAAUCAACUUUGUAUAGCUGUGUAUAAUAAAGUGUGCUGUAUUUGUCCAUUCUGAUGCUGCUAAUAAAGACAUACCUGAGACUGAAUAAUUUAUAAAGGAAA
rnacentral:lncRNA from 1 species